rnacentral:rRNA from 1 species
UAGGGAAUCUUCGGCAAUGGGGGCAACCCUGACCGAGCAACGCCGCGUGAAUGAAGAAGGUUUUCGGAUCGUAAAGCUCUGUUGUAAGAGAAGAACGUGUGUGAGAGUGGAAAGUUCACACAGUGACGGUAACUUACCAGAAAGGGACGGCUAACUACGUGCCAGCAGCCGCGGUAAUACGUAGGUCCCGAGCGUUGUCCGGAUUUAUUGGGCGUAAAGCGAGCGCAGGCGGUUUAAUAAGUCUGAAGUUAAAGGCAGUGGCUUAACCAUUGUUCGCUUUGGAAACUGUUAAACUUGAGUGCAGAAGGGGAGAGUGGAAUUCCAUGUGUAGCGGUGAAAUGCGUAGAUAUAUGGAGGAACACCGGUGGCGAAAGCGGCUCUCUGGUCUGUAACUGACGCUGAGGCUCGAAAGCGUGGGGAGCAAACAGG